UGGGGAAUUUUGGACAAUGGGCGAAAGCCUGAUCCAGCAAUGCCGCGUGUGUGAAGAAGGCCUUCGGGUUGUAAAGCACUUUUGUCCGGAAAGAAAUCCUUGGCUCUAAUACAGUCGGGGGAUGACGGUACCGGAAGAAUAAGCACCGGCUAACUACGUGCCAGCAGCCGCGGUAAUACGUAGGGUGCAAGCGUUAAUCGGAAUUACUGGGCGUAAAGCGUGCGCAGGCGGUUUGCUAAGACCGAUGUGAAAUCCCCGGGCUCAACCUGGGAACUGCAUUGGUGACUGGCAGGCUAGAGUAUGGCAGAGGGGGGUAGAAUUCCACGUGUAGCAGUGAAAUGCGUAGAGAUGUGGAGGAAUACCGAUGGCGAAGGCAGCCCCCUGGGCCAAAUACUGACGCUCAUGCACGAAAAGCGUGGGGAGCAAAACAGGAUUAGAUACCCUGGUAGUCCACGCCCUAAAACGAUGUCAACUAGUUGUUGGGGAUUCAUUUCCUUAGU
rnacentral:rRNA from 1 species